UUAAAGAGAGUUUAUUCUACUUAAACAUGAAGCAAGAGGAAUUCUUUAAUUAGCUUUUCUAUCUUAAAAUCCCUUCUUUGGAGAGUCAACUUAAUUAUUUUGUCAUUAUUGAUUUUUAACGUGAUGAAACAACCCAGCCUAAAACAGUAACGUGUUGGAGUUUUACUUGAUCCACAGAAAGAGCCUCCGUUUUCACUGGCCCAGCUUGGAGACCACAUCUCCACUUGGAGAAAUCAGAAUGUACCCACUUGACCAGGUCUUCAAGCUUCACAAUCACUUUUUCGGAAACAGCAAUGACUUCAUCCUACAAGAGGUGGUUGGGGAGAACAACAAUUAUGUAUGGGUUUGAGGAACCUGCUGGGACCUGCUAGGAACCUUUCUCUCUGCUGGGACCUCCAGGGAAAGUUGGGCCAGAAGACAUUUAAGAACAAAUACCUCGGCUUCUCAUUCUCUUC